rnacentral:rRNA from 1 species
GCUCAGGACGAACGCUGGCGGCGUGCCUAACACAUGCAAGUCGAACGGAGAAUUUUAUUUCGGUAGAAUUCUUAGUGGCGAACGGGUGAGUAACGCGUAGGCAACCUGCCCUUUAGACGGGGACAACAUUCCGAAAGGAGUGCUAAUACCGGAUGUGAUCAUCGUGCCGCAUGGCAGGAUGAAGAAAGAUGGCCUCUACAAGUAAGCUAUCGCUAAAGGAUGGGCCUGCGUCUGAUUAGCUAGUUGGUAGUGUAACGGACUACCAAGGCGAUGAUCAGUAGCCGGUCUGAGAGGAUGAACGGCCACAUUGGGACUGAGACACGGCCCAAACUCCUACGGGAGGCAGCAGUA